UCGCGAGUAGACGGGGCGCUCAGUCAGGCUGUGUGUGAGCAGGCAAAUCCCAGCGCGGUCCUCAGCAGCACUCUCUGGGCGUGAGCAGCCUCGCCGGCGAAUGCAGAUGACAGCUGGUGCGGAGAGCUACCGCGUCAGCGGGCGGGAGACGGGGAAAAUGGGCACCGAGUCUUGCACGGGGGCUUCAGCACGGACGAGUUGAUCCACACGGAGUUUGCAUCGACCAGAGCAUCAGACCCACCUGCAGCAGCAUGUUAGCUGGAUCCCACACGUAUGGAUGUUGUGUUUAUAUACAUGUGAGCAUGAAAUCAUAUUCAUAGGAGAUAUUGAAAAAAUGGGUGUGUGAUGAAUAGGGGAGCCUGGUGCCCCCUAGUGUGCGGGUGUGGUUAUAGCACAUGAAGUGCCACUGAGUUGGAAAGCAGGAUGAGGUAGUAGCAUGUUUGUGGCGUAAGGAGCUGUGGAAACGUCUGUUUAGAAAUGUGAAUAGAGAGCCCCUGACUGACAGGGCUUCCCUUAAUCGCCUGGAGCGACACGCAAACGGGGCGGGGAAGCGGGGGUCACAUAAGGCCAAUUUCUGCCACAGGUAUGGGGGACUUCACUGACUGAAGGAGCUGCAUUCCUAAUCUUCAAGACACCCUCCCCCUGACAAAAAAACGCUCUUGGACACCACAAGGAGUGCCGACGGCACCUCGCCGGCUCUGAGGAUUCCCAUUCAUCCAGACCUUCCCAUUCAUCCAUCACAGGAAGUCACUUUUAUGAUAAGUCGGCCUUAUCGGGGCCCAUUGGAGUUGUGGUCUGCGGGGCGGCGUUAUCCGAGAAGAGCUCCGCGGCCUUUCCGCUGUCUGUCUGCGCUCAGCUCGUGUUUUCAGGCCCGAUAAUGACAUGCUGAUGGCCUAGUAAAUGAAGAUGUGUCUCACGGACGACCGCGGCACGGGGCAGCAGUGGCAGGCCGGGCAAUCACAUGCCACGCUGUGGCUCAUCGGCUCGCUAUGCCGUUAUGUCAUAACUAGUCUCCAGGAGCUAAUCUCUGUCUCCACAUCUCAUGGUGUCCCACAACCCCCCCCAUCCCCCCCCACCCCGCGUAUGGAAA